GUGUUUUUCACGUACACUAACGGGGGCGGGCUCUCCCUCUGCAUAUUCAUAAUAGCUUGAAAUCAAGGAGAGACAAUAUACUUGAUGCUAAUACAAAACAAUCAGAAUAGGAGCAGUACAGACAUUAUUUACAUUAGAAACAAUCAUGAAGAGGAUUGAAGGUUUAUAAUGAGGCAGUGGUCAGGAACAGCUGACUCCCUCCUACACACACACCAAAAUACAUUUGCAUUAUUCCCUCCUCUCCAUCCUGCAUCCAUCCUUCUCCUUAGCCCUUGUGUCACCCCUCCCUCUCCCAGCAUCCUAUUGGACCAUCUGUCCUGUCAGACUAGUUGUCCAGCUGCGAUCAGGGGAUGCUAGCAGCCUUGUUAAUGUAGCAGCUGACCCGGUAUAAUGACGGAAGUGGGCUUUAGAGACAUCAACGGCUUCCUGUCACUUGACUCGUAGGCGCAGACAGAUAUACGUCCUCUGAUCCUCUCACAACUUCCUGAAAGCUGAAGCUGUCAUUAUCAUGUUGGAGGGGCGUUUCUCUGAGUAGAACCCAUGAACGUACCAGCAGGACCUCUUAUAGUUUGGAGCCUGACAUGUUCCAAUGAG
ensembl:lncRNA